rnacentral:rRNA from 1 species
GACGAACGCUGGCGGCGUGCCUAAUACAUGCAAGUAGGACGCAGUUGCGAAUGGGUGAGUAACGCGUAGGUACCUGACUACUAUUGGGGGAUAACUAUUGUAAACGAUAGCUAAUACCGUAUACAAGUAGAUGGACCUGCGUUGUAUUAGCUAGUAGGUAGGGUAAUGGCCUACCUAGGCAACGAUACGUAGCCGACCUGAGAGGGCGAUCGGCCGCACUGGGACUGAGACCGGGCCCAUGCGCCUGCGGGGGGCGGCCGUAGUGAAUCUUCGGCCAUGAGGGGAACCCUGGCCACGCAACGCCGCGUGAGUGAAGAAGGUUUUCGGGUCGUGAAGCUCGGUUUUUAAGGAAGCGGUACUUAACCAAAAAGGGACGGCUAACUACGUGCCAGCCGCCGCGGUAAUAC